GCCAAAAUCGAUAGCAGCUCAACAGCUGAUGAAACUGUAGUAUUAGUAGUGUUUUCAUUAGAAUUUCAAUUGGUUUUAAGUAAACAAUAAUUUCAAAAACAAAAAAGAAUGUCUUCUGCCCGCAAAUUGUCUCGAGAACUCUCCUAUAGCCCCGAGGGCUCCUUUGAGUACACCGCCCUACAGUUCGCCGUGAGGAGGAACUCGCUGGAACAAGUGAAAUAUCUAAUCGAGAGUGGGACAGAAUUAGACACGGGACCGGACCCGGCCCUACAUUUGGCCCUCCGAAACAAACAAGUGGACAUUGCCAUUCUCUUAUUAGAAGCGGGAGCGAAUUUCGAAUUAAGGGACUCCAAUGGGGACCAACCGAUACACAUCUCUUGCGCCCUGGGCCUCUUGGAGGCGGUUAAAGUGCUUUGCGCCCUCGGGUGCAACCUGGAAACACCCACCCAACAGGGACUCUACCCUUUACACUUGGCGGCCAAAUAUGGACAUAUUGCUGUCGUAAGGUGUUUGUGUGCGGCCGGUUGCAAUAUAGAAGUGAGAAACUUUGAUAAUAUUAGGGCCGACAUAACGGCCCUUAAGUAUGGUUUUAAUGAUAUUGCCGAACUGUUGGACAAGUUAAGGGUCUCAGGGCAUCGGGACCAUUAUGCCAGACAGUUGGUCCCUACGUCCAGGCCAGCCCUAAAGCUCUCCCUGAGGCUCCUGGGGCACUGCGGGGUGGGCAAGACGGCUUUUGUUAAAAGUCUGAAUGCUGGCCUGUUCGGAUCUUUGUUUCGGAGGUCCAGUUCGGCCCACAGUAAUAAAUCCAGGCCAUGUUCUCCUAUCAGCUGCACGCAUAUAGAAAUGGAUGUCACUUCUAGGCAGAACAGUAUUAAUUUUGAACCGGGGGUUAAUUAUCAUUCGACUAGUGGGAUACAUGUGCAAAAUGUGGAUGUGUCUUCCGUGGGGGACGUUACGGUAUGGGACUUCUCGGGGCAAGAAACCUACUUUCCGGUGUACCACCAUUUUCUGUGGCCCACCCCUUAUGCCGUGACGGCCGUUUUGUUCAGGGCGGACGACUCACCCGCGGUACAAAUCCGGCAGGUUUGUUUCUGGUUGAAUUUCUUGCUGGCAAGACAAAAAGCCGACCUGCCGACAUGCGAAUACGGACCUGUGAUCUUGGUGGCGACCCACGCGGACCAAACGCGAGCCACCAAGAACCACCACGGCGAGUGGACGUGUCCCGACGCCCAAAACACCCUGAAAACCGUCCGGAAACUGAUGCCCCACGUGCCGAACCUUAUGGACAAUGUGGUCGUUAUGGACGCCAACAUUCCCGCCUCGCACGCUUUCAAACUGUUUAAAUCGACGUUGGCGGGCGUUAAGCAGAAUUGUUUGCAGAAAACCGUGGGAACCUGGACGGGACUUCUAGAAAACGCCCUAUCGUGGCUCGUAGGGCUGCGCCACGACUACGACCAGUUUCCGGUCCUGAACAAGUCGAACUUUUCCGAUCUGCUCAGGACCAACGUCAACUUGUUGGCCUCGGACGAGCACAUAGACGAACUCUUGGACCAACUUCACGUUAUGGGCGAGGUUUAUUGCGUUCAACACCUGGUGGUUCUCUCUAUACCAUGGCUAGGACAUAAGCUGCUGGGGGAGCUCCUCUCCACUCACUUUAGAGCGCAAGCGCGAGAAAUCGGGGUCUACACCGCGGAAGAUUUUCAGAGUUCGUACACCCAGUGCGACGCCAGUGGGGUCCUGGAGUUGCUGGAGUGUCUGGACUUGUGCGUCCCGUGUGACGUAGACGGUGAAACUGAGUACGAGUUUCCCGUUUAUAUACAAACGGAAACUCUUGCGGGUCUCUGGGACGCCACCGAUAAAAGAUACUCCACUGUGGACGCCAUGUACGGAGGCCUACGACUCUACACUUCCUCGGGGAUGGUUCAUUUGUUCAAGGCGAUAUUUCCCCAUAUACAAGUGAACUUACGCCGUAACUUGGUGACUACUGGUGUUUAUAUGGAAAACGACAGCGAUUUGUUCCAGUGGAGUUCCGGAUCCAAGUUUUGCAACAUGGACAUGGAGGGCCUGAUCACUAUCGAGGAGGAGGAGCAGGAGGAAUAUGUGGAGGUGAAAGUGCGGGGCCCCCCGAUGUCCUCGCAGUGCUGUUUCCAUUUCCUGGAUAAUAUUAUGCAAACCGUUUGGCAGGCCGUUAAUAAAGUUUGUCCGGGACUGUUGGUGGAAACUCACCUGUUGAGUCCGGAAGAGCUCAGGCUGUACUCCGAGGAUCCUUACUGCUACAGCUCCCACCUGGUUACCGCGGCCAUCAUGGAAUCCGAGUCUGUACCAGACGUGAUCCUGUUUAAUCCGAACUUGAACUGUCACGAGACUAUUAGCCAGAUAAUCAUGUUUGACGACAUCGACUUGUCGAGACACAUCCAGUGGGGCUGCGUGCUCGGCGUCCAAGAACUCCCGGGCCCGGUGAAACUGAGACUGUGUGGCCACCUGGACCCGCCGGAGCCCCACGGGAGGGACUGGUGCCUCCUGGCCCUGAGACUGGGACUGUGCCAAAAGAAAAUCGCCGCCCUAGCCUCCCAGCACACUAGCCACUGCAUGAGGCUCCUCACCACCGCUCACUGCACCAUCGGGGCCCUAAUAACGAGUUUGCAUGAACUAGAUAGAGACGACGCCGCCGAAUUGGUGCUGAAAUGCGCGCCGAUAUUCAAAGUGAUUUUGGAGCAUGCGUCCGUUUAAGAGGGUCGGUAAAGUAGGACGGAGGUUUUAUUGAUUGUAAUCUUAAUAUAGAUUCUACAUAAACUUCCUUAAAGAAAUCUGAAGGGGCACAUAAAUACACACGUGAAUACAUCGACGGGAAAAUUAGCUGCGAAGUGUUUAUAACAUUAUUCUUCCUCCCAGGAAAAAUCUGGGUAUGAUUAACUUAGAUUACCUUUCCGGACUUUGUGGCUCAUUGUUAUUUUCCAGGAUAAAAUCGCUUACCAAGCAGUCAUUUGUCUUGUAAAAAAUGUCCUAUUUGACCCCAUAUUGCACUCCUAAGAAAAUGGGUGGAGGGAUUGAACUACGUAUGAGCAUUAAAGAAACAUUGAGCUACGCUUCUGAGAAAUUUGAACAUAAUAGUUUAAUUAAUAGAAUUUUUCCAGGGCCGUAAAGUAAAGCAAACCUUUAAGUCAACAGGGUUUUUGGAAAAACAUUAAUAUUUGGCCACUCACUAAAUAUAUUUUAGGUCUGUUGAGUUUAAAAUACUAAGAAAACAUUGGGCUGCUCUACUGCAAAAUUUGAACACUGUAGCUUAGUUAAUAGAACUUUUUUAAGGUUUUGAAGAGGCUUUGGAAAAACAUGAAUGUUUAGCCACCGACUAAAGAUAUUUUGGUUCUAUUUGUUUUAUAAUAUUAAGAGAAUAUUGAACUACUAAACAGUAAAAUUUGAACAUUGUAGUUUAAUUAAUAAAAAUUUCCAAGGCCCUAAAGUGAACCUAAUUCGGACACUUUCCUGUCAAAAGUAGCUUUAGAAAAAAAUUAAUAUUUAGCCGCUGACUAAAGAUAUUUCAGAUCAGUUUGCUUUAUUGUAUUAAGAGAACAUUGAGCUACUUUAUUGUGAAAUUUAAACAUUGUAGUUCAAGUAACAGGGCCCUAAAGUGAACCAAAUUUGAAGACUUUCCUUUUAAAAGUCUCUUUGCAAAAACAUUAAUAUUUAGCCACUGAAUAAGGAUAUUUUAGGAAUGUUUGCUUUAUAUUAUUAAAAGAACAUUAAGCUACUUUGCAGUAAAAUUUGACGGCAAAACCCUUAAACUGAUUGCACGAUACUGGCACAGGCUUACCAUAUUAACAAAGUCUACAUAUUAUUUUAAUUGAAAAUCUAUAUCCCUAGCAACACACACGAUAGUUAAAUAAACGUUUAUUUUUGGUUUACAUCAGGUGUACAUUUUUAGUUGAAUUUCAACUAUAAAUAUCGAAUAAAAUGUCUGCGUGAUAUACGUUAAGGAAUUUAAUAAUAUUAUGUCUAAUCUAAUUCGCGUGCAACAACAAAA